ACCCGGCAGGCUCCGUCGGUAGAGCGUGUGACUCUCGAUCUCGGGGUUGUGAGUUCGAGCCCCACACUGGGUG
rnacentral:tRNA from 1 species